GAUGAACGCUGGCGGCGUGCCUAACACAUGCAAGUCGAGCGAGGGUUUGCUCAGUAUUGAGUAUUCUAAGUCUAGAAUGUUCAAUUCUGAGCAAAACCAAGCGGCGGACGGGUGAGUAACGCGUGGGUAACCUGCCCUAUACACAUGGAUAACAUACUGAAAAGUUUACUAAUACAUGAUAAUAUAUAUUUGCGGCAUCGCAGAUAUAUCAAAGUGUUAGCGGUAUAGGAUGGACCCGCGUCUGAUUAGCUAGUUGGUGAGAUAACUGCCCACCAAGGCAAUGAUCAGUAGCCGGUCUGAGAGGAUGAACGGCCACAUUGGGACUGAGACACGGCCCAGACUCCUACGGGAGGCAGCAGUGGGGAAUCUUCCGCAAUGGGCGAAAGCCUGAUGCAGCAACGCCGCGUGAACGAUGAAGGUCUUCGGAUCGUAAAGUUCUGUUGCAGGGGAAGAUAAUGACGGUACCCUG
rnacentral:rRNA from 1 species